rnacentral:lncRNA from 1 species
GGAGUUGGGUGGAAACCACGGCGUCCUGGAGAACAGAAAGCGCAGCUGCCAGCGAUGGUAACAGUACCCGCGAACACCUUGGGAGCGGCUGACACUCCGCCAGGGCCUGUCCCAAGCCUUUCAAAGAGAUUAACUCUGCAGGAGGAGACGAAAGUCACGUCUCGCUGCUUUCCAGAAGCGCUCCAACACUUGUUCCUCAUUGUCUCAUGGGAUGUGAUAAAUUGGGGCACACUUCCUGCUUGGCUAUGGGUCGGAGUUUCGCAGAUGGACCGCCUAAGGACUCAGAGUUUCUGGGUGCUGGAGAGGGCUGCCCAGGAUAUCAGUGGUUCUGGAACAUUUCCAGGUUCCCCACAAUUCUCCAACUUCGGUGUUCUUUAGCCAGUUUUCCAAGCAAGCACUCCUUUAUCUUUCACAAG